AUUGAACGCUGGCGGCAUGCUUUACACAUGCAAGUCGAACGGUAACAGGCCUUCGGGUGCUGACGAGUGGCGAACGGGUGAGUAAUGCAUCGGAACGUGCCCAGAGGUGGGGGAUAACGCAGCGAAAGCUGUGCUAAUACCGCAUGUGAUCUGAGGAUGAAAGCGGGGGACCAAGCAGCAAUGUUUGGCCUCGCGCCUCUGGAGCGGCCGAUGUCAGAUUAGGUAGUUGGUGGGGUAAAGGCCUACCAAGCCGACGAUCUGUAGCUGGUCUGAGAGGACGACCAGCCACACUGGGACUGAGACACGGCCCAGACUCCUACGGGAGGCAGCAGUGGGGAAUUUUGGACAAUGGGCGCAAGCCUGAUCCAGCAAUGCCGCGUGCGGGAAGAAGGCCUUCGGGUUGUAAACCGCUUUUGUACGGAACGAAAAGGCUCUGGCUAAUACCUGGGGCUGAUGACGGUACCCUAAGAAUAAGCACCGGCUAACUACGUG
rnacentral:rRNA from 1 species